AAUUAUAAGUUAUGAUGAAAGGAAAAUAACAAUGAUAGACAUAGAAGGUCUAGUAGAAGUUUCUUUUAGGUUUGUUUAAUUUGUGGUAGGAACUAAGAAAUCCUAUGCAAAACCAAAAUAAAGAAUAAAACAAUCUACCAAAUCAAAAUUAGCCAAUUCAUUUGAUCUAUUAAUUAAUUUU